UACGUAGGGGGCAAGCGUUGUCCGGAUUUAUUGGGCGUAAAGAGCGUGUAGGCGGCCAGGUAGGUCAGCUGUGAAAACUCGAGGCUCAACCUCGAGACGUCGGUUGAAACCACCUGGCUAGAGUCCGGGAGAGGAGAGUGGAAUUCCUGGUGUAGCGGUGAAAUGCGCAGAUAUCAGGAAGAACACCCGUGGCGAAGGCGGCUCUCUGGGACGUGACUGACGCUGAGACGCGAAAGCGUGGGGAGCAAACAGG
rnacentral:rRNA from 1 species